AAAUAGAUACCCAGGUAGUCCACGCCGUAAACGAUGAGUGCUAAGUGUUAGAGGGUUUCCGCCCUUUAGUGCUGAAGUUAACGCAUUAAGCACUCCGCCUGGGGAGUACGGCCGCAAGGCUGAAACUCAAAGGAAUUGACGGGGGCCCGCACAAGCGGUGGAGCAUGUGGUUUAAUUCGAAGCAACGCGAAGAACCUUACCAGGUCUUGACAUCCUCUGACAACCCUAGAGAUAGGGCUUCUCCUUCGGGAGCAGAGUGACAGGUGGUGCAUGGUUGUCGUCAGCUCGUGUCGUGAGAUGUUGGGUUAAGUCCCGCAACGAGCGCAACCCUUGAUCUUAGUUGCCAUCAUUAAGUUGGGCACUCUAAGGUGACUGCCGGUGACAAACCGGAGGAAGUGGGGAUGACGUCAAAUCAUCAUGCCCCUUAUGACCUGGGCUACACACGUGCUACAAUGGACGGUACAAAGAGCUGCAAGACCGCGAGGUGAGCUAAUCUCAUAAAACCGUUCUCAGUUCGGA
rnacentral:rRNA from 1 species